UAAAAGUGUCGUGAAUGACCAGACAGGCCGGGAAUUUAUACCCUGUACUAGAUGGACAUUCGACGACCUGACUCGUAUAAGCAAGUAGGGCUUUUGCCUGGAUUGCGAAUACAGGCAGCGAUGUCGAGAGUGCACAGCACGAAGACAUCGACUUUUC
rnacentral:sRNA from 1 species